GCUAGGUGGAGGGGACCCCUCUGGAAUCCGGCGGGCUCCGGGCGCAGAUGCAGGAGCGAGUGGGGAGAGCCGCGUUCCUGGCAUGUUUGCCUCGAGUUAGUCACGAAGGAAUCGAAGAGAGCCUCAGUCUUCGAGGCUUUUCCCUUCCUGUGAGCCCCUAUGAGGCCAGCACAUUGAUUUUUUUUUUCUUUCGCAGAACAAUUUCGGACCUCCUGGGGUCUAUGCUAGGUAUAAGGUGUAUCUUUGUCCUCCAUGAAGUAGCAAAGAUAGACAUAUGAACAAAUUUCGACACUGUGAUGACUGCCACAAAAAGCAGCAUUAUGGGGUUGAAUGUAAAAGGAUAACACUAGCGGCGGCGGGGGCCGGAGGAUGAAGGAAGGCUUCCUGAGGUAGGCGCUGGCGAAACUGAAGUUGGAGAGAGCAAGUGGCAUUUGCUGAAGUGCAUUUCCGGUAGAAAGAACUCCAGUGGUCCCUCACCUGACUGAGUGGCGCAGUCAGAGAUAAAUGGAACAGAGUCUACAAAUAAACAUUUUAUAAAGAUGGUCCUUCAAUACAUAUUCUACAGCCCAGUUAAAAUGUGAGAGGCCAUGAUCUACAGGCAGCCAUUUAUAAAGGUGGAUUGGAUUUUAUAAAGAUUGUCCUUCAGGCCGGGCGCGGUGGCUCACGCUUGUAAUCCCAGCACUUUGGGAGGCCGAGGCGGGCGGAUCACGAGGUCAGGAGAUCGAGACCACGGUGAAACCCCGUCUCUACUAAAAAUACAAAAAAUUAGCCGGGCGUGGCGGCGGGCGCCUGUAGUCCCAGCUACUCGGGAGGCUGAGGCAGGAGAAUGGCGUGAACCCGGGAGGCGAAGCUUGCAGUGAGCCGAGAUCGCGCCACUGCACUCUAGCCUGGGCGACACAGCAAGACUCCGUCUCAAAAAAAAAAAAAAAAAAAAAAAAAAAAAAAAAAAAAAGAUUGUCCUUCAAUACAUAUUCUACAGCCCAGUUAAAAUAUGAGAGGCCAUGAUCUACAGGCAGCCAUUUAUAAAGGUGGAUUGGGGCCGGGCACGGUGGCUCACGUCUGUAAUCCCGGCAAUCUGGGAGGCCAAAGCGGGAGGAUCGCUUGAGCCCAGGAGUUCGAGACCAACCUGGCCAACAUGGUGAGACCCCAUCUCUACAAAAAUAUAUAUAUAUCCAGACAUAGUGGUGUGCACCUGUGGUCCUGUGGUCCCAGCUACUCAGGAAGCUGAGGCAGUCGAGGCUGCAGUGAGCCACGUUCUGGCCACUACACUUCAGCCCGGGCAUCAAAGUGACAAGACCAAAAAAAAAAAAAAAAAAAAUGUGGAUUGGAAAGAGGCAAGAAAGAAGGCAGGAAAAGGAUGGAAUGUAAGUCCCAAGGACACAAUCUUACUCACAAUUGUAUCUCCAACAUUUGGCAUAGUGCCUAAUACGUAAGUAUUUUAUGAAUUAAUUAAAUGAGAAGAACACAAGCCUAAAUUAAGGCAAUGGCAAUGGAGAAGAAGAAACCAACUUGAGAAAUAUUUAAAGGUCAUUGUCAAUGGAACUUAAUGACUUUAAUGGUUAAUUUUAUGUAUCAACUUGGCUAGGCGAUGGUACCCAUUUUACUCAGUUUUUGGUCAAACACUAGUCUAGUUGUUGCUAUGAAUUGUAUUUGUUAAAUGUGAUUAACAUUUAAAUCAGCAGACUUUGAUUAAAGUAGAUUACCCUCUAUAAUGAGGGUGGGCCGCAUCUAGUCAGUUCAAAUUAAAACGAGACCCUUAAGGAGCAAUUCAGCCUCCAGACUGCAGCAUCAAAUCUCCCUGGGUCUCCAGGCUGUUUGUCUGCCCUGUAGAUUUCAGACUUGCCAGCUCCCAGAAUAAUGUGAGCCAAUUCCUUAAAUCUCUUUCUGCAUAUACACAUCAUAUUGAUUCUGUUUCUCUGGAGAACCCGUACUAAUAUAGUGUCUGACUGGAUAUGGAGGAGGAGGAGAAGGGAGAAAUAGAAGAUAGACAAUGCCUUUGGAGAUUGAGUGACACUUAUCUAGUUGCUUAAGUCAAAAACCUGAAAACUGGCCAGGCAUGCCUGUUACGGGCUCACGCCUGUAAUCCCAGCACUUAGGGAGGCUGAGGCAGGCAGAUCAUUUGAGGUAAUUCAAGACCAGCCUGGCCAACAUGAUGAAACCCCAAAUACAAAAAUUAGCCGGGCAUGGUGGCACAUGCCUGUAACCCCACCUCCUCAAGAGGCUAAAGCAGAAUUGCUUGAACCCAGGAAACAGAGGUUGCAGUGAGUCGAGAUUGUGCCACUCCACUCCAGCCUGGGAGAGACUCCAUCUGAAAACAAACAACAAAAAAAAUGCUGGGCGCAGUGGCUCACGCCUGUAAUCCCAGCACUUUGAGAGGCUGAGGCAGGUGGAUCACCUAAGGUCAGGAGUUCAAGACCAGCCUGGCCAACAUGACAAACUCCAUCUCUACUAAAAAUAAAAAAAAAUUAGCUGGGCAUGUUGGCGGGCACCGUAAUACCAGCUACUCGGGAAGCUGAGGCAGGAGAAUUGCUUGAAUCGGGAAGCAGAGGUUGCAGUGAGCCGAGAUCACGCCAUUGUACUUUAGCCUGGGCGACAAGAGCGAAACUCCGUCUCAAAAAAAAAAAAAAAAAAAGAAGAAGAAGCCUGGGCGCAGUGGCUCAUGCCUGUAAUCCCAGCACUUUGGGAGGCCGAGGCAGGCUGAUCACUUGAGGUCAGGAGUUCGAGACCAGCCUGGACAUGGUGAAACCUGUCUCUACUAAAAAUACAAAAAUUAGCCAGGUGUAGUGGCUCAUGCCUGUAAUUCCAGCUACUUGGGAGGUUGAGGCAGGACAAUGGUUUGAACCCAGGAGGCAGAGGUUGUAGUGAGCCGAGAUUGUGCCACUGCACUCCAGCCUGGGUGAUACUCUAUCAAAAAAAAAAAAAAAAUGGGGGCAUGUGGGUAGAAGGUGCUACGGAAAAAUUCAUGGGCUAUGUGUAUGCAGCAUUGUUUUCAAAGCAGAAAUUGAGAAUUCAUUUAUAGUGGUGUGCAUACUGCUUUUUCAAAUGAGGAAACAGGAAAACAAGGGUCUAGACCUAUGUGUUAGGGACUUCCUUUAGUCCAUAAAACUUGCGCCGGGCGUGGUGGCUCACACCUGUAAUCCCAGCACUUUGGGCGGCUGAGGCAGGUGGAUCACCUGAAGUCAGGAGUUCCAAGACCAGGCUGGCCAACCUGGUGAGACCCCUCUCUCUACUAAAAAUACAAAAAGUUAGCCGGGUGUGGUGGUGCACUCCUGUAAUCCCAGCUAUUUGGAAGGCUGAGGCAGGAGAAUCGCUUGAACCUAUGCCUCAUAGGUUACAGUGAGCCGAGAUCAUGCCACUGCACCCAGCCUGGGCAACAGAGCGAGACUGUCUCAAAACACACACAAAAAACUUGUGAUUCACAGAGUAGUCUCUAGGGGAGCUCUAUAAUCACAAAUACAGUGACAGUAUUCCCAUUUUACAGAUGAGCAGACUAGGUAAUCAAUGUUUCUUAACAAAUUAACAUUAAAACUUCUGUCAGGAAGUUCCAGGCCAGGCACAGUGGCUCACAUCUAAAAUGCCGGUACUUAGGAAGGCUGGGGCAGGAGGAUCACUUGAGCUCAUUUCAAGACCAGCCUGGGCAACAUGGCAAGACUCCAUCUCUACAAAAAAUAAAAAAUUAGCUGGGCAUGGUGGCGCACACCUGUAGUUCCUGCUACUCAGGAGGCUGAAGUGGGAGGGCCACUUGAGCCUGGGAGGUUGAGGCUGCAGUGAGCCAUGAUCGUGCCACUGCAGUCCAGCCUGGAUGACAGAGCCAGCCCGUCUCAAAAAAACUUUCAUCAUGGCUGGGUGCAGUGGCUUAUGCCUGUCAUCCUAGCACUUUGGGAGGCAGAGACGGGUGGAUCACCUGAAGUCAGGAGUUCCACCAGCCACUCAGGAGGCUGAGGCAGGAGAAUCACUUGAACCCAGGAGGUGGAGGUUGCAGUAAGCUGAGAUCCUGCCACUGCACUCCAGACUAGGUGACAGAAUGAGACUUCAUGUCAAAAAAAAAAAAAGUUUCAUCAUUAAAGCUACAGAAGAGUAAAUAAACAGCACAAAUGAAGCAGAGCUACUUAUAGGUUCUUUUUUUUGAGAUGGAAUUUUGCUCUCAUUGCCCAGGCUGGAGUGCAGUGGUGCAAUCUCUGCUCACGGCAACCUCCGCCUCCCAGGUUCAAGCAAUUCUCCUACCUCAGCCUCCUGAGCAACUGGGAUUACAGGUAUGUGCCACCAUGCCCAGAUAAUUUUUUGUAGUUUUAGUAGAGAUGGGUUUCAUCGUGUUGGCCAGGCUGCUCUCGAAUUCCUAACCUCAGGUGAUCCACCCGCCUCAACCUCCCAAAGUGCAGGGAUUACAGGUGUGAGCCACUGUGCCUUGCCUUAUAGCUUCUUUUUAAGAGGAAGUACCUUAAGCAUCAGACUCAAAAUCUUUUUUUUUUUUUUUUUUUUUUUUUUUGAGACGGAGUCUCGCUCUGUCUCCCAGGCUGGAGUGCAGUGGCGCAAUCUCGGCUCACUGCAAGCUCCGCCUCCUGGGUUCACGCCAUUCUCCUGCCUCAGCCUCUCCGAGUAGCUGGGACUACGGGCGCCCGCCACCAUGCCCGGCUAAUUUUUUGUAUUUUUAGUAGAAACGGGGUUUCACCGUGGUCUUGAUCUCCUGACCUCGUGAUCCGCCCGCCUCGGCCUCCCAAAGUGCUGGGAUUACAAGCAUGAGCCACCGCACCCGGCCUCAAAAUCUUAUAAAGAUGGACUAGGUUAAGGCUGAAGAGCAGAUUGUUUUAAUUGGAAAUAGGGGCAGGUCAAAACUCCUAUUUAUAAAAGUGCAAAAUUAUGGAGUCAUUACAUGUUUUUUCUAAUGAUUUCUUGGGAAAAAGAGUACAUGUAAAAACAAAUUUUGGCAGAGCACAGUGGCUCAUGCCUGUAAUCCCAGAACUUUGGGAGGCCAAGGCAGGUGGGUGGAUCACUUGAGGUCAGGAGUUCGAGACCAGCCUGGCCAACAUGGUGAAACCCUGUCUCUACUAACAGUACAAAAAUUGGCUGAGCAUCAUGGUGCAUGCCUGUAGUCCCAGCUACUAGGGAGGCUGAGGCGGGAGAAUCGCUGGAACCCAGGAGGCAGAGGUUGCAGGGAGCUGAGAUCCCACCACUGCACUCCAGCCUGGGCAACAGAGCAAGACUACAUCUCAAUAAUUAAAUAAAUAAAGUUUUUGAUUUA